UCUUAUGGACGGACAAAGAAAGUGGUUUCUUGGAUGGAAUCUACCCCUGGUGAAGAUGCUGUGAA
rnacentral:pre_miRNA from 2 species